GACGAACGCUGGCGGCGUGCUUAACACAUGCAAGUCGAACGGAAAGGCCCUGCUUUUGUGGGGUGCUCGAGUGGCGAACGGGUGAGUAACACGUGAGUAACCUGCCCUUGACUUUGGGAUAACUUCAGGAAACUGGGGCUAAUACCGGAUAGGAGCUCCUGCUGCAUGGUGGGGGUUGGAAAGUUUCGGCGGUUGGGGAUGGACUCGCGGCUUAUCAGCUUGUUGGUGGGGUAGUGGCUUACCAAGGCUUUGACGGGUAGCCGGCCUGAGAGGGUGACCGGCAACAUUGGGACUGAGAUACGGCCCAGACUCCUACGGGAGGCAACAGUGGGGAAUAUUGCACAAUGGGCGGAAGCCGGAUGCAGAAACGCCGCGUGCGGGAUGACGGCCUUCGGGUGGUAAACCGCUUUCGCCUGUGACGAAGCGUGAGUGACGGUAAUGGGUAAAGAAGCACCGGCUAACUACGU
rnacentral:rRNA from 1 species